rnacentral:rRNA from 1 species
AUUGAACGCUGGCGGCAGGCCUAACACAUGCAAGUCGAACGAGUGGCGGACGGGUGAGUAAUGUCUGGGAAACUGCCCGAUGGCGGGGGAUAACUACUGGAAACGGUAGCUAAUACCGCAUACCAUCAGAUGUGCCCAGAUGGGAUUAGCUAGUAGGUGGGGUAACGGCUCACCUAGGCGACGCUCCCUAGCUGGUCUGAGAGGAUGACCAGCCACACGGGAACGAAGACACGGUCCAGACUCCUACGGGAGGCAGCAGUGGGGAAUAUUGCACAAUGGGCGCAAGCCGGAUGCAGCCAUGCCUCGUGUGUGAAGAAGGCCUUCGGGUUGUAAAGUACUUUCAGCGAGGAGGCGUUACUCGCAGAAGAAGCACCGGCUAACUCCGUGCCAGCAGCCGCGGUAAUUC